rnacentral:rRNA from 1 species
UACGUAGGGUCCGAGCGUUAAUCGGAAUUACUGGGCGUAAAGCGUGCGCAGGCGGUUUUGUAAGCCAGAUGUGAAAUCCCCGAGCUUAACUUGGGAACUGCAUUUGGGACUGCAAGGCUGGAGUACGGCAGAGGGAGGUGGAAUUCCACGUGUAGCAGUGAAAUGCGUAGAGAUGUGGAGGAGCACCGAUGGCGAAGGCGGCCUCCUGGCUCGACACUGACGCUGAGGUGCGAAAGCGUGGGGAUCAAACAGG